rnacentral:rRNA from 1 species
UACAGAGGGUGCGAGCGUUGUCCGGAAUCUCUGGGCGUAACGGGCGCUUAGGCGGUUUUGUAAGUCGGGGGUGAAAUGCUGCGGCUCAACCGCAGCGCUGCCUUCGAGACUGCAAGACUGGAGCACGGUAGAGGCGGAUGGAAUUCCCGGUGUAGCGGUGGAAUGCGUAGAGAUCGGGAAGAACACCAAUGGCGAAGGCAGUCCGCUGGGCCGUUGCUGACGCUGAGGCGCGACAGCGUGGGGAGCAAACAGG